CCUGGCAAGGUUAGCAAGAGGUCAAUUAUUUGGGUGAAGGUCUCAGUCACUGGAGACAAAUGUCAGAUUGUCAUAGCUUUAGGGUCAUAUUUCCACUUA